AUGAGGCGGGAGGAAGCGGUGGCGGUGACCUCGGUGGCGGCGCCGGAGCCGGGCCGCGACGGGGAGCAGCCUCGGCCGCCGGCGGGACUGGGGUGCGGGGCGCGAGGGGAACCCGGCGGCGGCGGACCCCAGGAGUCUUGCAAACAGCGGAAGAAAUUCUUGUAUUCAGAACCACAUAAGCGAAUUAAGGAAGUACUGGAAGAAGAACUUUAUAUUAAAAGAGAUGAAUGCCACAUUAAAAACCCACCUGCAGUGGCCCUGGAAGGGAUCUGGAGCAUCAGAAGGAAUCUCCCUGUGGGAGUCUUGAAGCCAGGACUGCGGAGCAGAAACAGUAUGCUGCCACAAGCCAAGUACUAUUCGAGGCACGGAGGGCUGGGAAGUAACAUCCGGACACUCCUGACUUCUGCGGAAGCCCCUGAGGGCGCCGAUUAGUUCACAGACCAGCGGUGCAUGCUUUAUUUCAAGUUCUCAAUCAGAAUUCAAUCUUCUUUUGGUUUGCUUCUCUCAGGUUGCCUUUAGCUUCGCCGUGUAACCUCAGCGUGGAACUCAAACGGAUAAGAUGAAUACAUUUUUCCAGUGAGAAGAAACUUCCUUCUCCUGAUGCCUGAAAAAACAAGAGCCCAAGCUUGUUUCACAGUUUAAGAUGUGUAAAAAAAAAUGUAUAUUAGUCUGUAAUUCUAAUUAUUGGUAUUAAUUCCCCUCUAUAAAUUAAUCCGAGGCAAUGGAAGACUAUUGGCAAAGUUUGCUAAGCACCUGGAAACAAGGAAGAAGAAUAUUAUAUUUACUUUUAGUUGGCACAUUUGGAAUACAUUGAGUUGCUGAUUUAACUUAUUUUAUU